rnacentral:rRNA from 2 species
AGACCCGAAACCCGGUGAUCUAGCCAUGGGCAGGUUGAAGGUUGGGUAACACUAACUGGAGGACCGAACCGACUAAUGUUGAAAAAUUAGCGGAUGACCUGUGGCUGGGGGUGAAAGGCCAAUCAAACCGGGAGAUAGCUGGUUCUCCCCGAAAGCUAUUUAGGUAGCGCCUCGUGAAUUCAUCUCCGGGGGUAGAGCACUGUUUCGGCUAGGGGGCCAUCCCGGCUUACCAACCCGAUGCAAACUGCGAAUACCGGAGAAUGUUAUCACGGGAGACACACGGCGGGUGCUAACGUCCGUCGUGAAGAGGGAAACAACCCAGACCGCCAGCUAAGGUCCCAAAGUCAUGGUUAAGUGGGAAACGAUGUGGGAAGGCCCAGACAGCCAGGAUGUUGGCUUAGAAGCAGCCAUCAUUUAAAGAAAGCGUAAUAGCUCACUGGUCGAGUCGGCCUGCGCGGAAGAUGUAACGGGGCUAAACCAUGCACCGAAGCUGCGGCAGCGAACGUAUCACCCAAGACAACUUUACGGAGUUGACGAUUGACGGAGCGAAGCGACGUCAAAGCGUUCAUUAAAGUCGAGUUGGCUUAGGGAUACGUUCGUUGGGUAGGGGAGCGUUCUGUAAGCCUGUGAAGGUGUGUCGUGAGGCAUGCUGGAGGUAUCAGAAGUGCGAAUGCUGACAUAAGUAACGAUAAAGCGGGUGAAAAGCCCGCUCGCCGGAAGACCAAGGGUUCCUGUCCAACGUUAAUCGGGGCAGGGUGAGUCGACCCCUAAGGCGAGGCCGAAAGGCGUAGUCGAUGGGAAACGGGUUAAUAUUCCCGUACUUGGUGUUACUGCGAAGGGGGGACGGAGAAGGCUAUGUUGGCCGGGCGACGGUUGUCCCGGUUUAAGCGUGUAGGUGUGUGUUCCAGGUAAAUCCGGUUCACUUUAACACUGAGGCGUGACGACGAGGCACUACGGUGCUGAAGCAACAAAUGCCCUGCUUCCAGGAAAAGCCUCUAAGCAUCAGGUAACACGAAAUCGUACCCCAAACCGACACAGGUGGUCAGGUA